AUUGAACGCUGGCGGCAUGCUUUACACAUGCAAGUCGAACGGCAGCGCGGGCUUCGGCCUGGCGGCGAGUGGCGAACGGGUGAGUAAUGCAUCGGAACGUGCCCAGUAGUGGGGGAUAGCCCGGCGAAAGCCGGAUUAAUACCGCAUACGACCUGAGGGUGAAAGCGGGGGACCGAAAGGCCUCGCGCUAUUUGAGCGGCCGAUGUCGGAUUAGCUAGUUGGUUGGGUAAAGGCUUACCAAGGCGACGAUCCGUAGCUGGUCUGAGAGGCCGACCAGCCACACUGGGACUGAGACACGGCCCAGACUCCUACGGGAGGCAGCAGUGGGGAAUUUUGGACAAUGGGGGAAACCCUGAUCCAGCCAUGCCGCGUGCGGGAAGAAGGCCUUCGGGUUGUAAACCGCUUUUGUUCGGGAAGAAAUCCUGUGGGCUAAUACCCCGGGGUGAUGACGGUACCGGAAGAAUAAGCACCGGCUAACUACGUG
rnacentral:rRNA from 1 species